rnacentral:rRNA from 1 species
AUUCCAGCUCCAAUAGCGUAUAUUAAAGUUGUUGCGGUUAAAAAGCUCGUAGUUGGAUUUCUGCUGAGGACGACUGGUCCGCCCCCUGGGUGAGCAUCUGGUUCGGCCUGGGCAUCUUCUUGGGGAACGUAUCUGCACUUGAUUGUGUGGUGCGGUAUCCAGGACUUUUACUUUGAGGAAAUUAGAGUGUUUCAAGCAGGCCCGCGCCUUGAAUACAUUAGCAUGGAAUAAUAAGAUAGGACCUCGGUUCUAUUUUAUUGGUUGCGGAACUGAAGUAAUGAUUGACAGGGAUAGUUGGGGGUGCUAGUAUUCAGCGGCCAGAGGUGAAAUUCUUGGAUUCGCUGAAGACUAACUUAUGCGAAAGCAUUCACCAAGGAUGUCUUCAUCG